rnacentral:rRNA from 1 species
UACGAAGGGGGCUAGCGUUGCUCGGAAUCACUGGGCGUAAAGCGCACGUAGGCGGCUUUUUAAGUCAGGGGUGAAAUCCUGGAGCUCAACUCCAGAACUGCCUUUGAUACUGGAAAGCUUGAGUCCGGAAGAGGUGAGUGGAACUCCGAGUGUAGGAGGUGAAAUUCGUAGAUAUUCGGAAGAACACCAGUGGCGAAGGCGGCUCACUGGUCCGGUACUGACGCUGAGGUGCGAAAGCGUGGGAGCAACAGG